UACGGGGGGGGCAAGCGUUGUUCGGAAUUACUGGGCGUAAAGGGCGCGUAGGCGGCUCGUCGCGUCGACCGUGAAAACCCGCGGCUUAACUGCGGGCUUGCGGUUGAUACGGGCGGGCUAGAGUUCGGUAGGGGAGACUGGAAUUCCUGGUGUAGCGGUGAAAUGCGCAGAUAUCAGGAGGAACACCGGUGGCGAAGGCGGGUCUCUGGGCCGAUACUGACGCUGAGGAGCGAAAGCGUGGGGAGCAAACAGG
rnacentral:rRNA from 1 species